UCAUGAAUAUCACUGAGUCCUUGCAAAAGCAAGGAACGGGGGACCCAAUACAUCAUGAUGACGUGCGCUCGUGUGAGAGCGAGACCUGAUUCAUGUGGGGUGAAUCCUUAGACCACAACGCGUGUGGCGCUAAGGUAGGAUGACUCUCACCAUCCGAAUCCGACAGCUAACCUCGUAAGUGUAGGAGAGAGGAUGA
rnacentral:sRNA from 1 species